rnacentral:rRNA from 1 species
GCGCAGCAGGCGAGAAAACUUCACAAUGUGCGAAAGCACGAUGAGGGAAUCCCAAGUGCUUGCACGUAAGUGUAAGCUGUUUCUCUGUCUAAAACGCAGAGGGAGUAAGGGCUGGGUAAGACGGGUGCCAGCCGCCGCGGUAAUACCUGCAGCUCGAGUGGUGACCGUUAUUAUUGGGCCUAAAACGUCCGUAGCCGGUUUAAUAAAUGCCUGGGUAAAUCGGACCGCUUAACGGUUCGAAUUCCGGGUAGACUGUUAAACUUGAGACCGGGAGAAGUUAGAGGUACUCCUGGGGUAGAGGUGAAAUUCUGUAAUCCUAGGGGGACCACCAGUGGCGAAGGCGUCUAACUAGAACGGGUCUGACGGUGAGGGACGAAGCCCUGGGGCGCAAACGGGAUUAGAUACCCGUGUAGU